rnacentral:tRNA from 1 species
GCGGAGUAGCUCAGUUGGUAGAGCGGUGGAAUCAUAAUCCAUGUGUCGGGGGUUCGAUCCCCUCCUCCG